GUACGGGGGGGCAAGCGUUGUUCGGAAUUACUGGGCGUAAAGGGCUCGUAGGCGGCCAACUAAGUCAGACGUGAAAUCCCUCGGCUUAACCGGGGAACUGCGUCUGAUACUGGAUGGCUUGAGGUUGGGAGAGGGAUGCGGAAUUCCAGGUGUAGCGGUGAAAUGCGUAGAUAUCUGGAGGAACACCGGUGGCGAAGGCGGCAUCCUGGACCAAUUCUGACGCUGAGGAGCGAAAGCCAGGGGAGCAAACGGG
rnacentral:rRNA from 1 species